rnacentral:rRNA from 1 species
GACGAACGCUGGCGGCGUGCUUAACACAUGCAAGUCGAACGGAAAGGCCCUGCUUUUGUGGGGUGCUCGAGUGGCGAACGGGUGAGUAACACGUGAGUAACCUGCCCUUGACUUUGGGAUAACUUCAGGAAACUGGGGCUAAUACCGGAUAGGAGCUCCUGCUGCAUGGUGUGGGUUGGAAAGUUUCGGCGGUUGGGGAUGGACUCGCGGCUUAUCAGCUUGUUGGUGGGGUAGUGGCUUACCAAGGCUUUGACGGGUAGCCGGCAUGAGAGGGUGAACGGGCACAUUGGGACUGAGAUACGGCGCAGACUCCUACGGGACGCAGCAGUGGGGAAUAUUGCACAAUGGGCGGAAGCCUGAUGCAGCAACGCCGCGUGCGGGAUGACGGCCUUCGGGUUGUGAACCGCUUUCGCCUGUGACGAAGAGUGAGUGACGGUAAUGGGUAAAGAAGCACCGGCUAACUACGUG